ACGCUAGCGAUAGGCUUAACACAUGCAAGUCGAGGGGCAGCAUGGUCUUAGCUUGCUAAGACUGAUGGCGACCGGCGCACGGGUGCGUAACGCGUAUGCAACUUGCCUCACAGAGGGGGAUAACCCGUCGAAAGACGGACUAAUAACGCGUACACUCUAUGUUGGGCAUCCAAUGUAGAGGAAAUGAAAUUCGCUGUGAGAUAGGCAUGCGUCCCAUUAGCUAGUUGGUGAGGUAACGGCUCACCAAGGCGACGAUGGGUAGGGGAACUGAGAGGUUGAACCCCCACACUGGUACUGAGACACGGACCAGACUCCUACGGGAGGCAGCAGUGAGGAAUAUUGGUCAAUGGGCGAGAGCCUGAACCAGCCAAGUCGCGUGAAGGAUGACUGUCUUAUGGAUUGUAAACUUCUUUUAUACGGGAAUAACAAGAGUCACGUGUGACUCCCUGCAUGUACCGUAUGAAUAAGCAUCGGCUAACUCCGUGCCAGCAGCCGCGGUAAUACGGAGGAUGCGAGCGUUAUCCGGAUUUAUUGGGUUUAAAGGGUGCGUAGGCGGCCUGUUAAGUCAGCGGUGAAAUCUAGGAGCUUAACUCCUAAAUUGCCAUUGAUACUGGCGGGCUUGAGUGUAGAUGAGGUAGGCGGAAUGCGUGGUGUAGCGGUGGAAUGCAUAGAUAUCACGCAGAACUCCGAUUGCGAAGGCAGCUUACUAAGGUACAACUGACGCUGAAGCACGAAAGCGUGGGUAUCAAACAGGAUUAGAUACCCUGGUAGUCCACGCUGUAAACGAUGAUAACUGGGCGUAUGCGAUAUACAGUAUGCUCCUAAGCGAAAGCGUUAAGUUAUCCACCUGGGGAGUACGCCGGCAACGGUGAAACUCAAAGGAAUUGACGGGGGCCCGCACAAGCGGAGG
rnacentral:rRNA from 1 species